rnacentral:rRNA from 1 species
CCUACGGGUGGCAGCAGUGGGGAAUAUUGCACAAUGGGGGAAACCCUGAUGCAGCGACGCCGCGUGAGUGAAGAAGUAUUUCGGUAUGUAAAGCUCUAUCAGCAGGGAAGAAAAUGACGGUACCUGACUAAGAAGCACCGGCUAAUUACGUGCCAGCAGCCGCGGUAAUACGUAGGGUGCAAGCGUUAUCCGGAUUUACUGGGUGUAAAGGUAGCGUAGACGGUAGUGCAAGACAGGAGUGAAGUCCCUGGGCUCAACGUCGGGACUGCUUUUGAAACUGUGUGACUGGAGUGCAGGAGAGGUAAGCGGAAUUCCUGGUGUAGCGGUGAAAUGCGUAGAUAUCAGGAGGAACACCAGUGGCGAAGGCGGCUUACUGGACUGUAACUGACGUUGAGGCUCGAAAGCGUGGGGAGCAAACAGGAUUAGAUACCCGAGUAGUC